rnacentral:rRNA from 1 species
CGCGUAUGCAACUUGCCCUGCACAGGAGGAUAACCCGUCGAAAGACGGACUAAUACUGCGUACACUCACUGGGAGGCAUCUCUUGGUGAGGAAAGAAAUUCGGUGUAGGAUAGGCAUGCGUCCCAUUAGCUAGUUGGUGAGGUAACGGCUCACCAAGGCGACGAUGGGUAGGGGAACUGAGAGGUUUAUCCCCCACACUGGUACUGAGACACGGACCAGACUCCUACGGGAGGCAGCAGUGAGGAAUAUUGGUCAAUGGGCGCGAGCCUGAACCAGCCAAGUCGCGUGAAGGAUGACUGUCUUAUGGAUUGUAAACUUCUUUUGUAUGGGAAUAACGGGGCGGACGUGUCCGCUUGUGAAUGUACCAUACGAAUAAGCAUCGGCUAACUCCGUGCCAGCAGCCGCGGUAAUACGGAGGAUGCGAGCGUUAUCCGGAUUUAUUGGGUUUAAAGGGUGCGUAGGCGGCUUGUUAAGUCAGCGGUGAAAUCUUGGGGCUCAACCCCGAAACUGCCGUUGAAACUGGCGAGCUUGAGUGUAGAUGAGGUAGGCGGAAUUCGUGGUGUAGCGGUGAAAUGCAUAGAUAUCACGAGGAACUCCGAUUGCGCAGGCAGCUUACUAAGGUACAACUGACGCUGAAGCACGAAAGCGUGGGUAUCAAACAGGAUUAGAUACCCUGGUAGUCCACGCAGUAAACGAUGAUAACUGGGCGUAUGCGAUAUACAGUAUGCUCCUAAGCGAAAGCGUUAAGUUAUCCACCUGGGGAGUACGCCCGGCACGGUGAAACUCAAAGGAAUUGAC